rnacentral:rRNA from 1 species
GCGCUUUCGGGUGUCGCUGAUGGAUGGACCCGCGGUGCAUUAGCUAGUUGGUGAGGUAACGGCUCACCAAGGCCACGAUGCAUAGCCGACCUGAGAGGGUGAUCGGCCACACUGGGACUGAGACACGGCCCAGACUCCUACGGGAGGCAGCAGUAGGGAAUCUUCGGCAAUGGACGAAAGUCUGACCGAGCAACGCCGCGUGAGUGAAGAAGGUUUUCGGAUCGUAAAACUCUGUUGUUAGAGAAGAACAAGGACGUUAGUAACUGAACGUCCCCUGACGGUAUCUAACCAGAAAGCCACGGCUAACUACGUGCCAGCAGCCGCGGUAAUACGUAGGUGGCAAGCGUUGUCCGGAUUUAUUGGGCGUAAAGCGAGCGCAGGCGGUUUCUUAAGUCUGUAU